rnacentral:rRNA from 1 species
UACGUAGGUGACCAGCGUUGUCCGGAUUUACUGGGCGUAAAGAGCGCGCAGGCGGUCGUUCAAGUCGAGUGUGAAAGCCCCCGGCUCAACUGGGGAGGGUCACUCGAUACUGAUCGACUUGAAGGCAGGAGAGGGAAGCGGAAUUCCCGGUGUAGUGGUGAAAUGCGUAGAUAUCGGGAGGAACACCAAUUGCGAAGGCAGCUGGCUACACAUAUAUUGACACUGAUGCACGAAAGCGUGGGGAUCAAACAGG